UCCCUGGAGGACUAGCGGUUAGGCCACAGCGCUCUCAGUGCUGCGGCCCAGGUCCAAUUCCAGGCCGGUGAA